AACGAACGCUGGCGGCAUGCCUAACACAUGCAAGUCGAACGAGGCCUUCGGGCAUAGUGGCGCACGGGUGCGUAACGCGUGGGAAUCUGCCUUUCGGUUCGGAAUAACUCAGGGAAACUUGAGCUAAUACCGGAUAACGUCGCAAGACCAAAGAUUUAUCACCGAAAGAUGAGCCCGCGUAGGAUUAGCUAGUUGGUGAGGUAAAGGCUCACCAAGGCGACGAUCCUUAGCUGGUCUGAGAGGAUGAUCAGCCACACUGGGACUGAGACACGGCCCAGACUCCUACGGGAGGCAGCAGUGGGGAAUAUGGGACAAUGGGCGAAAGCCUGAUCCAGCAAUGCCGCGUGAGUGAUGAAGGCCUUAGGUUUGUAAAGCUCUUUUACCCGGGAAGAUAAUGACGGUACCGGGAGAAUAAGCCCCGGCUAACUCCGU
rnacentral:rRNA from 1 species